GCGGGUGUAGCUCAGCUGGUUAGAGCGUCCGCCUGUCACGCGGAAGGUCGAGGGUUCAAGUCCCUUCACUCGCGCAA
rnacentral:tRNA from 1 species